rnacentral:misc_RNA from 1 species
UUUCAGUAGGUGAACCUGCGGAAGGAUCAUUCAUAAUAAGUGUUUUAUGGCACUUUUUUAAAUCCAUAUCCACCUUGUGUGCAAUGUCAGGGUUGAUUUUUCUCUCGAGAGGAUCAACCCCAAACAUCAACUAUAUCUCAACUCUUUGUCUGAAAAAUAUUAUGAAUAAAACAAUUCAAAAUACAACUUUCAACAACGGAUCUCUUGGCUCUC